UGGGAACAUGCACACCAGGGGCUGGGAAUCCUGGGGACUGCCUUCAAAUUCUGCGGACACAACGGCCCUUGCUGCCCUGUAAAAACUUCUUCACCUUCUUGGAAUUCUUCAAGUUCCUGUGUGGUCUGUUACCCUGCAUUCCAUGUAAACACUCAAUUGUAUCCUGUUUCAUAUUACAACUGAGUGGUUGCAGGGCUGCUCUCUUUACCUUCCAGGGCUAGGAGGAUGCUGGCUGCUUCUUCUUCCUGGUUUUUGUAUCUUUGCACCCCCGACUCAGUACUGGGGAGAAUAGAAAGUUAAAAGGUGCUGCCAGUUUUUUUUUUUUUUUUUUGGUUCACUUUUUGAUCUUGGCCUGAACUUUGCUGGGCAUGUGUUCUUUAUUGCCAUGCUAAUAAUACGCAGAGCAAUGACCUUGCCAUGGAAGAAUGUUCCAGGGCCCCCGGAGAACCCUCUGGAACUCCAUGCCACAAGAUAUCUUCAUGGGAGCAGGCAGCACAGUCCUCCAGAUUGGAGAUACUGAAUUUCAGAGCCCCAAGCCCUGAUAUUUCUCCGUCCUUGUUUUACUCAUCUGGCGAUUGGGUGAUGAGACCAGAAGUCCUGGGCAGAUUUCAGGUGCGUCUCACGUAAAUCACCUCCAGGAAAUAAAUCCACUUAGAAGGGUUCUCCAAAGUCACCAACUUGGCUUCCAAGUCCAAGUCCUUCUUAAUCCCCUAGGCUACGGGUUAUCAACCGCUGUCUUUCUAUGCCGCCUCUGUAGCCUUGGUCAAAUAAAUUC
rnacentral:lncRNA from 1 species